GGGUGAAACUUAAUGAGGUCAUAAUUUCCAAGCACAUAUCUGACAAUUCUGUGUGGAAUUCAAAAAAAGAAAAAAUGUUGGGUGAAACUUGAGGGUAUUAUGC
rnacentral:snoRNA from 1 species